rnacentral:rRNA from 1 species
AACUCUGAGACAGGUGCUGCAUGGCUGUCGUCAGCUCGUGUUGUGAAAUGUUGGGUUAAGUCCCGCAACGAGCGCAACCCUUAUCCUUUGUUGCCAGCGGUCCGGCCGGGAACUCAAAGGAGACUGCCAGUGAUAAACUGGAGGAAGGUGGGGAUGACGUCAAGUCAUCAUGGCCCUUACGAGUAGGGCUACACACGUGCUACAAUGGCGCAUACAAAGAGAAGCGACCUCGCGAGAGCAAGCGGACCUCAUAAAGUGCGUCGUAGUCCGGAUUGGAGUCUGCAACUCGACUCCAUGAAGUCGGAAUCGCUAGUAAUCGUAGAUCAGAAUGCUACGGUGAAUACGUUCCCGGGCCUUGUACACACCGA